rnacentral:rRNA from 1 species
CCUACGGGAGGCAGCAGUGAGGAAUAUUGGUCAAUGGGCGUAAGCCUGAACCAGCCAAGUCGCGUGAGGGAUGAAGGUUCUAUGGAUCGUAAACCUCUUUUAUAAGGGAAUAAAGUGUGGGACGUGUCCUGUUUUGUAUGUACCUUAUGAAUAAGGAUCGGCUAACUCCGUGCCAGCAGCCGCGGUAAUACGGAGGAUCCGAGCGUUAUCCGGAUUUAUUGGGUUUAAAGGGUGCGUAGGCGGCCUGUUAAGUCUGCGGUGAAAGUCUGUGGCUCAACCAUAGCAUUGCCGUUGAAACUGGGAGGCUUGAGUAUGUUUGAGGCAGGCGGAAUGCGUGGUGUAGCGGUGAAAUGCUUAGAUAUCACGCAGAACCCCGAUUGCGAAGGCAGCCUGCCAAGCCAUGACUGACGCUGAUGCACGAAAGCGUGGGGAUCAAACAGGAUUAGAUACCCCUGUAGUC